rnacentral:rRNA from 1 species
UACAGAGGUCCCAAGCGUUGUUCGGAUUCAUUGGGCGUAAAGGGUGGCGUAGGCGGCGCGGUAAGUCGGGUGUGAAUUCGGAGCUAACUCCGAACUGCAUUCGAUACUGGCGUGCUUGAGGACUGGAGAGGAGACUGGAAUUCAUGGUGUAGCAGUGAAAUGCGUAGAGAUCAGGAAGAACACCCGUGGCGAAGGCGGCUCUCUGGGACGGUACUGACGCUGAGACGCGAAGCGUGGGAGCGAACAGG